UCGGGGGGCGGGGGUGCCUAAUACAUGCAGUCGAGCGAACAGACGAGGAGCUUGCUCCUCUGACGUUAGCGGCGGACGGGUGAGUAACACGUGGAUAACCUACCUAUAAGACUGGGAUAACUUCGGGAAACCGGAGCUAAUACCGGAUAAUAUAUUGAACCGCAUGGUUCAAUAGUGAAAGACGGUUUUGCUGUCACUUAUAGAUGGAUCCGCGCCGCAUUAGCUAGUUGGUAAGGUAACGGCUUACCAAGGCAACGAUGCGUAGCCGACCUGAGAGGGUGAUCGGCCACACUGGAACUGAGACACGGUCCAGACUCCUACGGGAGGCAGCAGUAGGGAAUCUUCCGCAAUGGGCGAAAGCCUGACGGAGCAACGCCGCGUGAGUGAUGAAGGUCUUCGGAUCGUAAAACUCUGUUAUUAGGGAAGAACAAAUGUGUAAGUAACUAUGCACGUCUUGACGGUACCUAAUCAGAAAGCCACGGCUAACUACGUGCCAGCAGCCGCGGUAAUACGUAGGUGGCAAGCGUUAUCCGGAAUUAUUGGGCGUAAAGCGCGCGUAGGCGGUUUUUUAAGUCUGAUGUGAAAGCCCACGGCUCAACCGUGGAGGGUCAUUGGAAACUGGAAAACUUGAGUGCAGAAGAGGAAAGUGGAAUUCCAUGUGUAGCGGUGAAAUGCGCAGAGAUAUGGAGGAACACCAGUGGCGAAGGCGACUUUCUGGUCUGUAACUGACGCUGAUGUGCGAAAGCGUGGGGAUCAAACAGGAUUAGAUACCCUGGUAGUCCACGCCGUAACGAUGAGUGCUAAGUGUUAGGGGGUUUCCGCCCCUUAGUGCUGCAGCUAACGCAUUAAGCACUCCGCCUGGGGGAGUACGACCGACAGCUUGGUACUCAGAGAAAUUUUUUUCGCCCAAGAAUAAAAA
rnacentral:rRNA from 1 species